UCAACUACCAAAAGUGCACUCUCACUCUGUUACUCUACCUAACCGUAUUAUCCGCUCUCCAUGUAAAACUACUGAAGUAGACACAGCAAGGGACAGGCACACACUCACUGGUCAUCAAAAUCAUCAAAUGAUGCAGUGAAUUUGGCUGUUCUGGUUUGCAGACAAAAAAGUUUUGGAAGCGGUGCGGGAGGAUAGUGGACACUGUUUGUGAUUCACUUCUCGUCAUUCUCCGAGCCUUACAAACAAACAAAAAUAGCUCUCUCUUUUCGCUGACGAUUGUCCCCCAACACGGGCGGCGGUUAUU
ensembl:ncRNA K08F8.11 ncRNA